GCCCUGCUAGCUCAAUCGGUAGAGCGUGAGACUUUUACAGACAUCAACCGCAGGCUGAUUUGUAAAAUCCUUGAUCUCAAGGUUGCGGGUUCGACCCCCGCGUGGGGCU
rfam:Sphaerobolus stellatus SS14 unplaced genomic scaffold SPHSTscaffold_156, whole genome shotgun sequence.